rnacentral:rRNA from 1 species
AGGGCAAGUCUGGUGCCAGCAGCCGCGGUAAUACCAGCUCCAAUAGCGUAUAUUAAAGUUGUUGCAGUUAAAAAGCUCGUAGUUGAAUUUCGGGAUCAAUCUAUCGGUCGUGCAAUAGUACGUACUGAUUUUAUUGAUUCCUCCCUUCUGAUGAACUAUGAUGUCAUUAAUUUGGUGUCAUAGGGAAUCAGGACUGUUACUUUGAAAAAAUUAGAGUGUUUAAAGCAGGCUCACGCUUGAAUACAUUAGCAUGGAAUAACGAAAUAGGACGUUUGAUUCUAUUUUGUUGGUUUCUAGGAUCGACGUAAUGAUUAAUAGGGAUAGUUGGGGGCAUUAGUAUUCAAUUGUCAGAGGUGAAAUUCUUGGAUUUAUUGAAGACUAACUACUGCGAAAGCAUUUGCCAAGGAUGUUUUCAUUAAUCAAGAACGAAAGUUAGGGGAUCGAAGACGAUCAGAUACCGUCGUAGUCUUAACCAUAAACUAUGCCGACUAGGGAUCGGAUGAUGUUAAUUUUUUAAUGACUCAUUCGGCGCCUUACGGGAA